UACGUAGGGUGCAAGCGUUGUCCGGAAUUAUUGGGCGUAAAGGGCUCGUAGGCGGUCCAUCGCGUCGGGAGUGAAAAGCUGGGGCUUAACCCCAGUCCUGCUUCCGAUACGGGUGGACUAGAGGUAGGUAGGGGAGAACGGAAUUCCUGGUGUAGCGGUGAAAUGCGCAGAUACCAGGAGGAACACCGGUGGCGAAGGCGGUUCUCUGGGCCUUACCUGACGCUGAGGAGCGAAAGCAUGGGGAGCAAACAGG
rnacentral:rRNA from 1 species